UAGAGUGUAGCUCAGUGUUAGAGCACUUGCCUAGCAUGCAUGAGGCAAUGGGUUCAACCCCCUACACUACAA
rnacentral:tRNA from 1 species